rnacentral:rRNA from 1 species
GGAAAAGAAACCAACAGGGAUUGCCCUAGUAACGGCGAGUGAAGCGGCAACAGCUCAAAUUUGAAAUCUGGCCUUGGCCCGAGUUGUAAUUUGUAGAGGAAACUUUUGGUUAGGUACCUUCCGAGUUCCUUGGAACAGGACGCCUUAGAGGGUGAGAGCCCCGUACGGUUGGAUGCCGAGCCUCUGUAAAGUUCCUUCGACGAGUCGAGUAGUUUGGGAAUGCUGCUCUAAAUGGGAGGUAAAUUUCUUCUAAAGCUAAAUACCGGCCAGAGACCGAUAGCGCACAAGUAGAGUGAUCGAAAGAUGAAAAGCACUUUGAAAAGAGGGUUAAAUAGCACGUGAAAUUGUUGAAAGGGAAGCGCUUAUGACCAGACUUUCUCCUGGCGGAUCAUCCGGUGUUCUCACCGGUGCACUUCGCCAGGUUUAGGCCAGCGUCGAUUUUGGCCGGGGGAUAAAGACAGUGGGAACGUGAUUCCCUCCGGGGAGUGUUAUAGCCCACUGUGUAAUACCCUGGCCGGGAUCGAGGUUCGCGCUCUGCAAGGACGCUGGCAUAAUGGUCAUCAGUGACCC